rnacentral:misc_RNA from 1 species
CAACCUGAACAAUCCGCACCCUCGACUCCUUGUCCCCGGGAUCAAUCAAACAAUGCUCCAAUUCCCAUGACAAAUAAGGAGCUGUAUUAUAAUUUCCAUCAUGAUUAUUGGACCAGGCAGCCACAUAACAUCCGGUUGAUUGAUACGCAAAGGCAGCAACAUUGGCAUCAGAAAUAUUCCUCUCGUCGAUGCUAUACCUAGUUGCAGCAUCAGCUUCACAGCCAACGGUAGGAAGGAGCCGAAUGAACUUGUACAUGAAAGAGAAGGCAUCAUCAUCACGAGCAAGAGUAGGACAUUGAGUUUGCCAAUCGAAUACCUUCACCUCCCACUCCCUGUAAGCUCCAGGGACUACAGAUUCCGGUAAUUCAAUCGGCUCACCUUGCUUGCUAAAAUCUGCUCCAAACCCAUCCCAUUCGCCAGACACAUUUUUUGCAAACUCAGCCCAUCCUUUCAAAUUGAUAUUUUCAGAGUCUUUAACGGAAUCUGAAGUUGAUUGGAGUUGGGAAGCUGAGUUCUCCGUUGUCUUUGGUGCCAAGGCGGGUAUGGAGAUGCUUCUCUUCGAAGUAGUAAUAGUAGUAAUAGUGGUAUAAUUUUCAAGUUUGAAUUGUUGGGAGAAGUUUGAUAUUUUAUUGUUAGUGAAAGAUGAAUGGAAGAAGGUGCGAAUUCUCACAUGGGCAGAAGCAGACAGAGCAGCCAUUGAUGAUACAGUGAGGAGCCGUG